GGGGUGCUCGAGUGGCGAACGGGUGAGUAACACGUGAGUAACCUGCCCUUGACUUUGGGAUAACUUCAGGAAACUGGGGCUAAUACCGGAUAGGAGCUCCUGCUGCAUGGUGGGGGUUGGAAAGUUUCGGCGGUUGGGGAUGGACUCGCGGCUUAUCAGCUUGUUGGUGGGGUAGUGGCUUACCAAGGCUUUGACGGGUAGCCGGCCUGAGAGGGUGACCGGCCACAUUGG
rnacentral:rRNA from 1 species